rnacentral:rRNA from 1 species
GAGCUGGUGAGAGCGGCGGACGGGUGAGUAAUGUCUGGGAAACUGCCUGAUGGAGGGGGAUAACUACUGGAAACGGUAGCUAAUACCGCAUAACGUCUUCGGACCAAAGAGGGGGACCUUCGGGCCUCUUGCCAUCAGAUGUGCCCAGAUGGGAUUAGCUAGUAGGUGAGGUAAUGGCUCACCUAGGCGACGAUCCCUAGCUGGUCUGAGAGGAUGACCAGCCACACUGGAACUGAGACACGGUCCAGACUCCUACGGGAGGCAGCAGUGGGGAAUAUUGCACAAUGGGCGCAAGCCUGAUGCAGCCAUGCCGCGUGUGUGAAGAAGGCCUUCGGGUUGUAAAGCACUUUCAGCGGGGAGGAAGGCGGUGAGGUUAAUAACCUCAUCGAUUGACGUUACCCGCAGAAGAAGCACCGGCUAACUCCGUGCCAGCAGCCGCGGUAAUACGGAGGGUGCAAGGGUUAAUCGGAAUGACUGGGCGUAAAGCGCACGCAGGCGGUUUGUUAAGUCAGAUGUGAAAUCCCCGAGCUUAACUUGGGAACUGCAUUUGAAACUGGCAAGCUAGAGUCUUGUAGAGGGGGGUAGAAUUCCAGGUGUAGCGGUGAAAUGCGUAGAGAUCUGGAGGAAUACCGGUGGCGAANGCGGCCCCCUGGACAAAGACUGACGCUCAUGUGCAAAAGCGUGGGGAGCAAACAGGACAUAA